rnacentral:rRNA from 1 species
ACGGUUACCUUGUUACGACUUAGCCCCAAUCACCGGUUUCACCCUAGGCCGACCCUCGCGGUCACGGACUUCAGGCGCCCCCGGCUUUCAUGGCUUGACGGGCGGUGUGUACAAGGCCCGGGAACGUAUUCACCGCGCCAUGGCUGAUGCGCGAUUACUAGCGAAUCCAGCUUCGUGGGGUCGGGUUGCAGACCCCAGUCCGAACUGAGGAUGACUUUAAGGAUUGGACCGAUGUUGCCAGCGGCCGGCCCUCUGUAUCACCCAUUGUAACACGUGUGUAGCCCCGGACGUAAGGGCCGUGCUGAUUUGACGUCAUCCCCACCUUCCUCACUCCUUGCGGAGGCAGUGUCCCCAGAGUGCCCGGCCAAAACCGAUGGCAACUAGGGAAAGGGGUUGCGCUCGUUAUGGCACUUAAGCCGACACCUCACGGCACGAGCUGACGACAACCAUGCAGCACCUUCACAGAGACCCCGAAGGGCAUCACCAUCUCUGGAUCUUUCCUCUGCAAUUCAAGCCCGGGUAAGGUUCCUCGCGUAUCAUCGAAUUAAACCACAUGUUCCUCCGCUUGUGCGGGCCCCCGUCAAUUCCUUUGAGUUUCACCGUUGCCGGCGUACUCCCCAAGUGGGAUGCUUAACGCUUUCGCUUGG